rnacentral:rRNA from 1 species
GAUGAACGCUGGCGGCGUGCCUAAUACAUGCAAGUCGAGCGAACGGACGAGAAGCUUGCUUCUCUGAUGUUAGCGGCGGACGGGUGAGUAACACGUGGAUAACCUACCUAUAAGACUGGGAUAACUUCGGGAAACCGGAGCUAAUACCGGAUAAUAUUUUGAACCGCAUGGUUCAAAAGUGAAAGACGGUCUUGCUGUCACUUAUAGAUGGAUCCGCGCUGCAUUAGCUAGUUGGUAAGGUAACGGCUUACCAAGGCAACGAUGCAUAGCCGACCUGAGAGGGUGAUCGGCCACACUGGAACUGAGACACGGUCCAGACUCCUACGGGAGGCAGCAGUAGGGAAUCUUCCGCAAUGGGCGAAAGCCUGACGGAGCAACGCCGCGUGAGUGAUGAAGGUCUUCGGAUCGUAAAACUCUGUUAUUAGGGAAGAACAUAUGUGUAAGUAACUGUGCGCAUCUUGACGGUACCUAAUCAGAAAGCCACGGCUAACUACGUGCCAGCAGCCGCGGUAAUACGUAGGUGGCGAGCGUUAUCCGGAAUUAUUGGGCGUAAAGCGCGCGUAGGCGGUUUUUUAAGUCUGAUGUGAAAGCCCACGGCUCAACCGUGGAGGGUCAUUGGAAACUGGAAAACUUGAGUGCAGAAGAGGAAAGUGGAAUUCCAUGUGUAGCGGUGAAAUGCGCAGAGAUAUGGAGGAACACCAGUGGCGAAGGCGACUUUCUGGUCUGUAACUGACGCUGAUGUGCGAAAGCGUGGGGAUCAAACAGGAUUAGAUACCCUGGUAGUCCACGCCGUAAACGAUGAGUGCUAAGUGUUAGGGGGUUUCCGCCCCUUAGUGCUGCAGCUAACGCAUUAAGCACUCCGCCUGGGGAGUACGACCGCAAGGUUGAAACUCAAAGGAAUUGACGGGGACCCGCACAAGCGGUGGAGCAUGUGGUUUAAUUCGAAGCAACGCGAAGAACCUUACCAAAUCUUGACAUCCUUUGACAACUCUAGAGAUAGAGCCUUCCCCUUCGGGGGACAAAGUGACAGGUGGUGCAUGGUUGUCGUCAGCUCGUGUCGUGAGAUGUUGGGUUAAGUCCCGCAACGAGCGCAACCCUUAAGCUUAGUUGCCAUCAUUAAGUUGGGCACUCUAAGUUGACUGCCGGUGACAAACCGGAGGAAGGUGGGGAUGACGUCAAAUCAUCAUGCCCCUUAUGAUUUGGGCUACACACGUGCUACAAUGGACAAUACAAAGGGCAGCGAAACCGCGAGGUCAAGCAAAUCCCAUAAAGUUGUUCUCAGUUCGGAUUGUAGUCUGCAACUCGACUACAUGAAGCUGGAAUCGCUAGUAAUCGUAGAUCAGCAUGCUACGGUGAAUACGUUCCCGGGUCU